rnacentral:rRNA from 1 species
GACGAACGCUGGCGGCGUGCUUAACACAUGCAAGUCGAACGGUGAAGCGCCUUCCUUUUUGGUGGGUGUGGAUGAGUGGCGAACGGGUGAGUAACACGUGAGUAACCUGCCCCCUUCUUCUGGAUAACCGCAUGAAAGUGUGGCUAAUACGGGAUAUUCUGGGUCUGUCGCAUGAUGGGUCUGGGAAAGAUAUUGUUUCGGUGGGGGAUGGGCUCGCGGCCUAUCAGCUUGUUGGUGGGGUGAUGGCCUACCAAGGCGGUGACGGGUAGCCGGCCUGAGAGGGUGGACGGUCACACGGGGACUGAGACACGGCCCAGACUCCUACGGGAGGCAGCAGGGGGGAAUAUUGCACAAUGGGCGCAAGACUGAUGCAGCGACGCCGCGUGAGGGAUGGAGGCCUUCGGGUUGUGAACCUCUUUCGCCAGUGAAGCAGGCCUGCCUCGUUUGUGGGUGGGUUGACGGUAGCUGGAUAAGAAGCGCCGGCUAACUACGUG